GGGAUGCAGGAGGUGGAGCUGGGUGGCCAUUGCUGAGCUUUUUUAGGGUUUUGUGUUCUCUCAGUGCAAAGACAUUGCCAGAUUUAUACUGAGUUUUAUACCCUGAGGAUCUUGCUGCUCAUAAUAGGAUGCUUUUGGAGUUUUGGAACAGACUUUUUGCCGUUACUGCUAGUUUGGACUGUCAGUGUUGCAUAUGUAACAAUGGCUGGUUGGGGACCAGCUACACUCUUUAAACCUGGUGAUCUUUGGGUGAAACUUGGACGACCGCCAAUCAUGCUGUUUAUUGUGGCAUCACUGUUAAUAGAGGAUAUAGCCUUUUGCUCGGACUUCUGAUUGGAUGUUUACAAUGGACUGCAAGCAUUUAAGGGUGACAAUAGCUUGACGUCGAACAGCUUGACCUCGAAUGAUAGCUUGAAGCUUUACUAUCCCUUUCAGUGCUCGUAAAGCUUUUUUUGCCUAUAAAAAGGCCACAUAGGUCUAAAGGGGCAAGUACUUCAUCAACAAAAUAUGAAAUGGAUUAUAAUUAAUCUCUCAUUGGAAUCUGGAAAUUGUUUUCAUUGUGAAACAAUAGUCUCUCUAUGAGUUUAUGCAUCUCUGGAUGAAUUCAUUGAUCGAAUGGCCUCAGGUGGGCAGGCAACGCAGCGAGGUACUGUUGAAGGCACAGAAGCAGCAUUAGCUUCAGAACUUGAAACUUCA